UUGACCUCGGAUCAGGUAGGGAUACCCGCUGAACUUAAGCAUAUCAAUAAGCGGAGGAAAAGAAACCAACAGGGAUUGCCUCAGUAACGGCGAGUGAAGCGGCAAGAGCUCAAAUUUGAAAGCUGGCUCCUUCGGGGUCCGCAUUGUAAUUUGCAGAGGAUGCUUCGGGAGUGGCCCCCAUCUAAGUGCUCUGGAACGGGCCGUCAUAGAGGGUGAGAAUCCCGUAUGGGAUGGGGUGUCCGCGACCAUGUGAAGCUCCUUCAACGAGUCGAGUUGUUUGGGAAUGCAGCUCUAAAUGGGUGGUAAAUUUCAUCUAAAGCUAAAUAUUGGCCGGAGACCGAUAGCGCACAAGUAGAGUGAUCGAAAGAUGAAAAGCACUUUGAAAAGAGAGUUAAAAAGCACGUGAAAUUGUUGAAAGGGAAGCGCUUGCGACCAGACUCGCCUACGGGGUUCAGCCGGUAUUCGUACCGGUGUACUUCCCCGUGGGCGGGCCAGCGUCGGUUUGGGCGGCCGGUCAAAGGCCCUCGGAAUGUAACGCCUCUCGGGGCGUCUUAUAGCCGGGGGUGCCAUGCGGCCAGCCCAGACCGAGGAACGCGCUUCGGCACGGACGCUGGCAUAAUGGUCGUAAGCGACC
rnacentral:rRNA from 1 species